ACCACAGAUGAGCAAAGAUAUUUUUGCUGUUGCAAAGAAAUAAAAGUUCACGGAGACUGUUGAGCCCCUUCACAUUCCAUUCUGUCCUAUUUCACUUCUCCAGAGAUAACCACUGUCCUGAAGUUGGUAUAUCUAACAAUGAUAUUUGAAAAACAUUUGGCUACUGUUUUUGGUCCAGUCUUGGAGAGAGAUGGGGUCUAACUACGUUGCCCAGGCUGG